rfam:Otolemur garnettii contig040742, whole genome shotgun sequence.
UAGCUUUACAGAUCUUUACAAUUUGUCCAGCAGGCUUUCUGGUUUUCACCUGGGCCAGGCCCAA